rnacentral:rRNA from 1 species
AAUGGGCGCAAGCCUGAUCCAGCCAUGCCGCGUGAGUGAAGAAGGCCUUAGGGUUGUAAAGCUCUUUUGGCGGGGACGAUAAUGACGGUACCCGCAGAAUAAGCCCCGGCUAACUUCGUGCCAGCAGCCGCGGUAAUACGAAGGGGGCUAGCGUUGUUCGGAAUUACUGGGCGUAAAGCGCACGUAGGCGGAUUUGUUAGUCAGGGGUGAAAUCCCGGGGCUCAACCUCGGAACUGCCUUUGAUACUGCAAGUCUUGAGUCCGAGAGAGGUGAGUGGAAUUCCUAGUGUAGAGGUGAAAUUCGUAGAUAUUAGGAAGAACACCAGUGGCGAAGGCGGCUCACUGGCUCGGUACUGACGCUGAGGUGCGAAAGCGUGGGGAGCAAA